UACGAAGGGGGCUAGCGUUGUUCGGAUUUACUGGGCGUAAAGCGCACGUAGGCGGGUCGUUAAGUCAGGGGUGAAAUCCCGGAGCUCAACUCCGGAACUGCCUUUUGAUACUGGCGACCUUGAGGCUGGAAGAGGUUAGUGGAAUUCCCAGUGUAGAGGUGAAAUUCGUAGAUAUUGGGAAGAACACCAGUGGCGAAGGCGGCUAACUGGUCCAGAUCUGACGCUGAGGUGCGAAAGCGUGGGGAGCAAACAGGG
rnacentral:rRNA from 1 species